rnacentral:rRNA from 1 species
UCCUCCUUCUUUCUUCGUGCUUAACACAUGCAAGUCGAACGGAAAGGCCCUGCUUUUGUGGGGUGCUCGAGUGGCGAACGGGUGAGUAACACGUGAGUAACCUGCCCUUGACUUUGGGAUAACUUCAGGAAACUGGGGCUAAUACCGGAUAGGAGCUCCUGCUGCAUGGUGGGGGUUGGAAAGUUUCGGCGGUUGGGGAUGGACUCGCGGCUUAUCAGCUUGUUGGUGGGGUAGUGGCUUACCAAGGCUUUGACGGGUAGCCGGCCUGAGAGGGUGACCGGCCACAUUGGGACUGAGAUACGGCCCAGACUCCUACGGGAGGCAGCAGUGGGGAAUAUUGCACAAUGGGCGGAAGCCUGAUGCAGCAACGCCGCGUGCGGGAUGACGGCCUUCGGGUUGUAAACCGCUUUCGCCUGUGACGAAGCGUGAGUGACGGUAAUGGGUAAAGAAGCACCGGCUAACUACGUG